rnacentral:rRNA from 1 species
AUGGCGCCAUGCCGAGCCACCGUCGUGAAGACGAGAGCGGUGUGCGUGCUCCUCCUCCUCCUCCUCCUGUCGGCCGACGUGCGGCCACAGUCCGUGGAUGGGCAGGCGCCACCGGCUCCAGAGGUGGCCGUGACAAUCGAAGCAGACGCCGACAGCCGCGGCAAUGGCACCCGCGCCGGCGGCGCUGGGAACACCGCGAGGAAGGUGCUGAGCACCAUCGACUGUCAGAUCUGCGAGUCGACGUGCCGGGUCAAGUGCCUCAUCAACAACCUCUUCCAGUGGGGCACCUGCUACCAGCGCUGCAAGGCCGACAAUUGCAACGACUGGUGUAGGUAG